UACAGGGGGGGCAAGCGUUGUUCGGAAUUACUGGGCGUAAAGGGUCAGUAGGCGGCCAACUAAGUCCGACGUGAAAUCCCAAGGCUUAACUUUGGAACUGCGUCGGAUACUGGAUGGCUUGAAUUCGGGGAGGAGGAUGCAGAAUUCCAGGUGUAGCGGUGAAAUGCGUAGAUAUCGGGAGGAACACCAGUGGCGAAGGCGGCUACCUGGCCCACUCUUGACGCUGAGGCGCGAAAGCUAGGGGAGCAAACGGG
rnacentral:rRNA from 1 species